rnacentral:rRNA from 1 species
UGCGACCCCAGGUCAGGCGGGAC